CUACGGGCGGCUGCAGUGGGGAAUAUUGGACAAUGGGGGAAACCCUGAUCCAGCAAUGCCGCGUGUGUGAAGAAGGCCUGCGGGUUGUAAAGCACUUUCGGUUGGGAGGACUGCUUCUAGCACUAAUAUUGUUGGAAGUUGACGUUACCUUCAGAAGAAGCACCGGCUAACUCCGUGCCAGCAGCCGCGGUGAAUACGGAGGGUGCAAGCGUUAAUCGGAAUUACUGGGCGUAAAGCGCGAGUAGGCGGCUAGAUCAGUCGGGUGUGAAAGCCCCGGGCUUAACCUGGGAACUGCAUCCGAUACUGUCUAGCUUGAGUACAGGAGAGGAGAGUGGAAUUCCACAUGUAGCGGUGAAAUGCGUAGAUAUGUGGAGGAACACCAAUGGCGAAGGCAGCUCUCUGGCCUGAUACUGACGCUGAGGUGCGAAAGCGUGGGGAGCAAACAGGAUUAGAUACCCUCGUAGUC
rnacentral:rRNA from 1 species